UGGGGCUGGAGUAGGUCCCAAGGGUUGGGCUGUUCGCCCAUUAAAGCGGUACGCGAGCUGGGUUUAGAACGUCGUGAGACAGUUCGGUCCCUAUCCGCUGUGCGCGCAGGAGACUUGAGAAGGGCUGUCCCUAGUACGAGAGGACCGGGACGGACGAACCUCUGGUGUGCCAAUUGUCCUGCCAAGGGCACGGUUGGUUGGCUACGUUCGGAAGGGAUAACCGCUGAAAGCAUCUAAGCGGGAAGCUCGCUUCAAGAUGAGGUCUCCCACAGGGUUAACCUGGUAAGGCCCCCAGUAGACGACUGGGUUGAUAGGCCGGAGGUGGAAGUGCAGCAAUGCAUGGAGCUGACCGGUACUAAUAGGCCGAGGACUUGACCAC
rnacentral:rRNA from 1 species